GAUGAACGCUGGCGGCGUGCCUAAUACAUGCAAGUCGAGCGAACAGAUGAGGAGCUUGCUCCUCUGACGUUAGCGGCGGACGGGUGAGUAACACGUGGAUAACCUACCUAUAAGACUGGGAUAACUUCGGGAAACCGGAGCUAAUACCGGAUAAUAUAUUGAACCGCAUGGUUCAAUAGUGAAAGACGGUUUUGCUGUCACUUAUAGAUGGAUCCGCGCCGCAUUAGCUAGUUGGUAAGGUAACGGCUUACCAAGGCAACGAUGCGUAGCCGACCUGAGAGGGUGAUCGGCCACACUGUAUCUGAGCCACGGUCCAGACUCCUACUGGAGGCAGCAGUAGGGAAUCUUCCGCAAUGGGCGAAUGCCUGACGGAGCAACGCCGCGUGAGUGAUGAAGGUCUUCGGAUCGUACACCUCUGUUAUUAGGGAAGAACAAAUGUGUAAGUAACUAUGCACGUCUUGACGGUACCUAAUCAGAAAGCCACGGCUAACUACGUG
rnacentral:rRNA from 1 species